UGACGUUGAGCCCACUACGGGCUGCAUAAAUUCCGGCCAGGCAACGGGGGCCGGUU
ncrna:unclassified sequences Glutamine-II riboswitch (downstream peptide RNA)